rnacentral:rRNA from 1 species
GACGAACGCUGGCGGCGUGCUUAACACAUGCAAGUCGAACGAUGAAGCUGGAGCUUGCUCCGGCGGAUUAGUGGCGAACGGGUGAGUAACACGUGAGCAAUCUGCCCUUCACUCUGGGAUAACUGCGGGAAACUGUAGCUAAUACCGGAUACGAAGCCUUGGGGCAUCCCGGGGCUUGGAAAGAAUUUCGGUGAAGGAUGAGCUCGCGGCCUAUCAGCUAGUUGGUGAGGUAAUGGCUCACCAAGGCGACGACGGGUAGCCGGCCUGAGAGGGUGACCGGCCACACUGGGACUGAGACACGGCCCAGACUCCUACGGGAGGCAGCAGUGGGGAAUAUUGCACAAUGGGCGAAAGCCUGAUGCAGCAACGCCGCGUGAGGGAUGAAGGCCUUCGGGUUGUAAACCUCUUUUAGUAGGGAAGAAGCGAAAGUGACGGUACCUACAGAAAAAGCACCGGCUAACUACGUGCCAGCCGCCGCCGUAAAAC